UCGGGAAUUUUGGGCAAUGGGCGAAAGCCUGACCCAGCAACGCCGCGUGAAGGAUGAAGUAUUUCGGUAUGUAAACUUCGAAAGAAUAGGAAGAAUAAAUGACGGUACUAUUUAUAAGGUCCGGCUAACUACGUGCCAGCAGCCGCGGUAAUACGUAGGGACCAAGCGUUGUUCGGAUUUACUGGGCGUAAAGGGCGCGUAGGCGGCAAUUCAAGUCAUCUGUGAAAUCUCCGGGCUUAACUCGGAACGGUCAGAUGAUACUGCUUUGCUAGAGUGCAGAAGGGGCAAUCGGAAUUCUUGGUGUAGCGGUGAAAUGCGUAGAUAUCAAGAGGAACACCUGAGGUGAAGACGGGUUGCUGGGCUGACACUGACGCUGAGGCGCGAAAGCCAGGGGAGCAAACGGGAUUAGAU
rnacentral:rRNA from 1 species